rnacentral:tRNA from 1 species
CAAAAAAUAGUUUAAAAAAAAUAUUAAUUUUGGAGAUUAAAGAUAUAGUAGAUAAAUUAUUUUUUUGA